CUCAGGAUGAACGCUAGCUACAGGCUUAACACAUGCAAGUCGAGGGGCAGCAUGAAUUUACUUCGGUAGAUUUGAUGGCGACCGGCGCACGGGUGCGUAACGCGUAUCCAACCUUCCCGUUACUCUGGGAUAGCCUUCCGAAAGGGAGAUUAAUACCGGAUGGUGUUCAAGUGGUGCAUAUUAUUUGAACUAAAGAUUUAUCGGUAGCGGAUGGGGAUGCGUACCAUUAGAUAGUAGGCGGGGUAACGGCCCACCUAGUCGACGAUGGUUAGGGGUUCUGAGAGGAAGGUCCCCCACACUGGAACUGAGACACGGUCCAGACUCCUACGGGAGGCAGCAGUGAGGAAUAUUGGUCAAUGGCCGAGAGGCUGAACCAGCCAAGUAGCGUGAAGGAUGAAGGUUCUAUGGAUUGUAAACUUCUUUUAUACGGGAAUAACACCAUCUACGUGUAGAUGCCUGCAUGUACCGUAUGAAUAAGCAUCGGCUAACUCCGUG
rnacentral:rRNA from 1 species